rnacentral:rRNA from 1 species
UGGCUCAGGACGAACGCUGGCGGCGUGCCUAAUACAUGCAAGUCGAACGGUCUUUCUAUGGAAGCUUGCUUCCACUGAGAAGAUAGUGGCGAACGGGUGAGUAACACGUGGGUAACCUGCCCAUAAGAGGGGGAUAACAUCCGGAAACGGGUGCUAAUACCGCAUAGUUUUCUUGAUCGCAUGAUCGGGAAAGGAAAGACGGCCUUUGUGCUGUCGCUUAUGGAUGGACCCGCGGCGUAUUAGUUAGUUGGUGAGGUAACGGCUCACCAAGACGAUGAUACGUAGCCGACCUGAGAGGGUGAUCGGCCACAUUGGGACUGAGACACGGCCCAAACUCCUACGGGAGGCAGCAGUAGGGAAUCUUCCGCAAUGGACGAAAGUCUGACGGAGCAACGCCGUGUGAGUGAAGAAGGUUUUUCCGGAUCGUAAAACUCUGUUGUCAGAGAAGAACAAGUUGGAGAGUAACUGCUCCAGCCUUGACGGUAUCUGACCAGAAAGCCACGGCUAACUACGUGCCAGCAGCUGC